rnacentral:lncRNA from 1 species
GCGGAAAACUUUUCAUUUCGGAGACUAAACAAGGCCUGAAACCUCCAAACCAGAGCUCUACUUUAAAUUUGAAUGCUCCUUAUUUUUAUUGGUUCAUUUUUUUUCUUUUACUUUAACAGCAGCAGCUCCGCAUGCAAGGUUGAGGCGGAGGUGGGUGGCCGCGCUCGCCAGAGCUCAGUGGAGGUGGGCUGCUGCGCUCAUCGGAGGGGAUGUGGAGACAGAGGCGUGAUGGAGGCGCUCGCCAGAGGGAGAGGUACAGUGGAGGCAGAUGCGAUGCGGCCGGCCGUGCUCAUCCUCGCGGGAAGGCGGGUGGAGGCAGCUGCACUUGUCGGACGAGAGGUGGAUGGCUACGCGUUGAAGAGGAGGGGAGGCGCUAUGAGGGG